AGCUUGUCUGCACUUUUACAUGGUGAGCGUUUCUUGCCUUUGCAUUAUAUCUAUUUCUGCUUUUGGUUUUAUCAUCGUAAUUGCUGUUCUUUCUUUUAGGACCAUCUUAAUGGCCUGAUUAUACUUGUGUUCUCUAUUACAGUUAUCAUUCACAUUGCAUUGCCAUAACUUGAUUCGGGCGUGGAAACAUGCUUUGUUUCAUGUAAUAAUUUUCUUGAAUUACAUUGUACAAUCCAACUCAAGUAUAGCUUCAUCUUAGGAUAACUAUGAUUCAUUUCUAUUUUUUUUCUGUUGCAUAUAUUCUGAUGU
rnacentral:misc_RNA from 1 species